rnacentral:hammerhead_ribozyme from 1 species
AUUUAGAUGACGAAUCCCAAAUAGAACGAAACGCGCAUCCUAAAU